GGUGUUACCAGAUAUUUCACCAAUAAUCUUUCAAUGACAAGUUAUUUUUCUCUUUAAUGAGACUGAUUAAAGAAAUAUGACUAAAGUCAGCCACAUUUUACACUAUUUCAAACAUCAAGUAUAAAGUCUCUGAAUUCAUCAUAAGGGAGAAAAGUCAUGCAUACCACCAUACACGGAAGCAUCACUCCUAAUUAUGUCAUAUAAAUUUCAGAAUCUGACUGACACUGGCAAGCCAGAUGCCAGCUCGUACCAAGACUGGAGGCAUUAGCUAAGAACUAACAAAUUCAUAUCUAGAGACCAGACCAGUUCAGCUGUAUGUUAGUUUUACU